UACGGAGGGGGCUAGCGUUGUUCGGAAUUACUGGGCGUAAAGCGCACGUAGGCGGCUUUGUAAGUUAGAGGUGAAAGCCCGGGGCUCAACUCCGGAAUUGCCUUUAAGACUGCAUCGCUAGAAUUGUGGAGAGGUAAGUGGAAUUCCGAGUGUAGAGGUGAAAUUCGUAGAUAUUCGGAAGAACACCAAUGGCGAAGGCGACUUACUGGACACAUAUUGACGCUGAGGUGCGAAAGCGUGGGGAGCAAACAGG
rnacentral:rRNA from 1 species